rnacentral:rRNA from 1 species
GAUGAACGCUGGCGGCGUGCCUAAUACAUGCAAGUCGAGCGAACGGACGAGAAGCUUGCUUUUCUGAUGUUAGCGGCUGACGGGUGAGUAACACGUGGAUAACCUACCUAUAAGACUGGGAUAACUUCGGGAAACCGGAGCUAAUACCGGAUAAUAUUUUGAACCGCAUGGUUCAAAAGUGAAAGUCGGUCUUUCUGUCUCUUAUAGAUGGAUCCGCGCUGCAUUAGCUAGUUGGUAAGGUAACGGCUUACCAAGGCAACGAUGCAUAGCCGACCCGAGAGGGUGAUCGGCCACACUGGAACUGAGACACGGUCCAGACUCCUACGGGAGGCAGCAGUAGGGAAUCUUCCGCAAUGGGCGAAAGCCUGACGGAGCAACGCCGCGUGAGUGAUGAAGGUCUUCGGAUCGUAAAACUCUGUUAUUAGGGAAGAACAGAUGUGUAAGUAACUGUGCACAUCUUGACGGUACCUAAUCAGAAAGCCACGGCUAACUACGUG